CCUGGCUCAGGAUGAACGCUGGCGGCGUGCCUAAUACAUGCAAGUCGAACGGGGGCAGUAGCGAUACUGUCCUAGUGGCGAACGGGUGAGUAACGCGUUGGUGACCUGCCCCAGAGAGGGGGAUAACAGACCGAAAGGUCUGCUAAUACCGCAUAAGUUCUCAGCAGUUAGAGGGGUUGAGAAGAAAGCCGAAAGGCGCUCUGGGAGGGGCCUGCGUCCCAUCAGCUAGUUGGUAGGGUAACGGCCUACCAAGGCGAAGACGGGUAGGGGACCUGAGAGGGUGGCCCCCCACAAUGGAACUGAAACACGGUCCAUACACCUACGGGUGGCAGCAGUAGGGGAUAUUGGUAAAUGGGCGAAAGCCUGACCCAGCAACGCCGCGUGCGCGAAGAAGGCCUUCGGGUUGUAAAGCGCUUUUCUGAGGGAUGAGGAAGGACAGUACCUGAGGAAUAAGUCUCGGCUAACUACGUGCCAGCAGCCGCGGUAAGACGUAGGAGACGAGCGUUAUCCGGAUUUACUGGGCGUAAAGCGCGUGCAGGCGGCUCGUUAAGUUGGAUGUGAAAGCCCCUGGCUAAACUAGGGGAGGUCGUUCAAGACUGGCGGGCUAGAGUGCAGCAGAGGAGAGUGGAAUUCCGAGUGUAGCGGUAAAAUGCACAGAUAUUCGGAAGAACACCAGAGGCGAAGGCGGCUCUCUGGGCUGCAACUGACGCUCAGACGCGAAAGCUAGGGGAGCGAACGGGAUUAGAGACCCCGGUAGUCCUAGCCGUAAACGAUGUGGACUUGGCGUGGGUAGGGUAAAGCCUGUCCGUGCCGAAGCAAACGCGAUAAGUCCACCGCCUGGGGACUACGGCCGCAA
rnacentral:rRNA from 1 species